GAUGAACGCUGGCGGCGUGCCUAAUACAUGCAAGUCGAGCGAACGGACGAGAAGCUUGCUUUUCUGAUUUUAGCGGCGGACGGGUGAGUAACACGUGGAUAACCUACCUAUAAGACUGGGAUAACUUCGGGAAACCGGAGCUAAUACCGGAUAAUAUUUUGAACCGCAUGGUUCAAAAGUGAAAGACGGUCUUGCUGUCACUUAUAGAUGGAUCCGCGCUGCAUUAGCUAGUUGGUAAGGUAACGGCUUACCAAGGCAACGAUGCAUAGCCGACCUGAGAGGGUGAUCGGCCACACUGGAACUGAGACACGGUCCAGACUCCUACGGGAGGCAGCAGUAGGGAAUCUUCCGCAAUGGGCGAAAGCCCGACGGAGCAACGCCGCGUGAGUGAUGAAGGUCUUCGGAUCGUAAAACUCUGUUAUUAGGGAAGAACAUAUGUGUAAGUAACUGUGCACAUCUUGACGGUACCUAAUCAGAAAGCCACGGCUAACUACGUG
rnacentral:rRNA from 1 species